GACGAACGCUGGCGGCGUGCUUAACACAUGCAAGUCGAACGGAAAGGCCCUGCUUUUGUGGGGUGCUCGAGUGGCGAACGGGUGAGUAACACGUGAGUAACCUGCCCUUGACUUUGGGAUAACUUCAGGAAACUGGGGCUAAUACCGGAUAGGAGCUCCUGCUGCAUGGUGGGGGUUGGAAAGUUUCGGCGGUUGGGGAUGGACUCGCGGCUUAUCAGCUUGUUGGUGGGGUAGUGGCUUACCAAGGCUUUGACGGGUAGCCGGCCUGAGAGGGUGACCGGCCACAUUGGGACUGAGAUACGGCCCAGACUCCUACGGGAGGCAGAAGUGGGGAAUAUUGCACAAUGGGCGGAAGCCUGAUGCAGCAACGCCGCGUGCGGGAUGACGGCCUUCGGGUUGUGAACCGCUUUCGCCUGUGACGAAGCGUGAGUGACGGUAAUGGGUAAAGAAGCACCGGCUAACUACGUG
rnacentral:rRNA from 1 species